UACGUAGGGGGGCAAGCGUUGUCCGGAUUUAUUGGGCGUAAAGAGCGUGUAGGCGGCCUGACAGGUCUGCUGUGAAAACUCGAGGCUCAAACCUCGAGAUGUCGGCGGAAACCGUCUGGCUAGAGUCCGGAAGAGGAGAGUGGAAUUCCUGGUGUAGCGGUGAAAUGCGCAGAUAUCAGGAAGAACACCUAUGGCGAAGGCAGCUCUCUGGGACGGUACUGACGCUGAGACGCGAAAGCGUGGGGAGGCGAACAGG
rnacentral:rRNA from 1 species